AAUGAACGCUGGCGGCAUGCCUAACACAUGCAAGUCGAACGAGACCUUCGGGUCUAGUGGCGCACGGGUGCGUAACGCGUGGGAACCUGCCCUUAGGUUCGGAAUAACUCCCCGAAAGGGGUGCUAAUACCGGAUAAUGUCUUCGGACCAAAGAUUUAUCGCCUUUGGAUGGGCCCGCGUUGGAUUAGCUAGUUGGUAGGGUAAAAGCCUACCAAGGCGACGAUCCAUAGCUGGUCUGAGAGGAUGAUCAGCCACACUGGGACUGAGACACGGCCCAGGAUCCUACGGGAGGCAGCAGUGGGGAAUAUUGGACAGUGGGCGAAAGCCUGAUCCAGCAAUGCCGCGUGAGUGAUGAAGGCCGUAGGGUUGUAAAGCUCUUUUACCCGGGAUGAUAAUGACAGUACCGGGAGAAUAAGCUCCGGCUAACUCCGUG
rnacentral:rRNA from 1 species